GGUUAAGCGACUAAGCGUACACGGUGGAUGCCCUGGCAGUCAGAGGCGAUGAAGGACGUGCUAAUCUGCGAAAAGCGUCGGUAAGGUGAUAUGAACCGUUAUAACCGGCGAUGUCCGAAUGGGGAAACCCAGUGCAAUUCGUUGCACUAUCGUUAACUGAAUACAUAGGUUAACGAGGCGAACCGGGGGAACUGAAACAUCUAAGUACCCCGAGGAAAAGAAAUCAACCGAGAUUCCCCCAGUAGCGGCGAGCGAACGGGGAGCAGCCCAGAGUCUGAAUCAGCUUGUGUGUUAGUGGAACGGUCUGGAAAGUCCGACGGUACAGGGUGAUAGUCCCGUACACCAAAAUGCACAGGCUGUGAACUCGAAGAGUAGGGCGGGACACGUGGUAUCCUGUCUGAAUAUGGGGGGACCAUCCUCCAAGGCUAAAUACUCCUGACUGACCGAUAGUGAACCAGUACCGUGAGGGAAAGGCGAAAAGAACCCCGGCGAGGGGAGUGAAAAAGAACCUGAAACCGUGUACGUACAAGCAGUGGGAGCACCUUCGGGUGUGACUGCGUACCUUUUGUAUAAUGGGUCAGCGACUUAUAUUCUGUAGCAAGGUUAACCGUAUAGGGGAGCCGCAGGGAAACCGAGUCUUAACUGGGCGUUAAGUUGCAGGGUAUAGACCCGAAACCCGGUGAUCUAGCCAUGGGCAGGUUGAAGGUUGGGUAACACUAACUGGAGGACCGAACCGACUAAUGUUGAAAAAUUAGCGGAUGACUUGUGGCUGGGGGUGAAAGGCCAAUCAAACCGGGAGAUAGCUGGUUCUCCCCGAAAGCUAUUUAGGUAGCGCCUCGUGAACUCAUCUUCGGGGGUAGAGCACUGUUUCGGCUAGGGGGUCAUCCCGACUUACCAACCCGAUGCAAACUACGAAUACCGAAGAAUGUUAUCACGGGAGACACACGGCGGGUGCUAACGUCCGUCGUGAAGAGGGAAACAACCCAGACCGCCAGCUAAGGUCCCAAAGUCAUGGUUAAGUGGGAAACGAUGUGGGAAGGCACAGACAGCCAGGAUGUUGGCUUAGAAGCAGCCAUCAUUUAAAGAAAGCGUAAUAGCUCACUGGUCGAGUCGGCCUGCGCGGAAGAUGUAACGGGGCUAAACCAUGCACCGAAGCUGCGGCAGCGACACUAUGUGUUGUUGGGUAGGGGAGCGUUCUGUAAGCCUGCGAAGGUGACCUGUGAGGGUUGCUGGAGGUAUCAGAAGUGCGAAUGCUGACAUAAGUAACGAUAAAGCGGGUGAAAAGCCCGCUCGCCGGAAGACCAAGGGUUCCUGUCCAACGUUAAUCGGGGCAGGGUGAGUCGACCCCUAAGGCGAGGCCGAAAGGCGUAGUCGAUGGGAAACAGGUUAAUAUUCCUGUACUUGGUGUUACUGCGAAGGGGGGACGGAGAAGGCUAUGUUAGCCGGGCGACGGUUGUCCCGGUUUAAGCAUGUAGGCUGGUUGUCCAGGCAAAUCCGGAUAAUCAAGGCUGAGGUGUGAUGACGAGGCACUACGGUGCUGAAGUAACAAAUGCCCUGCUUCCAGGAAAAGCCUCUAAGCAUCAGGUAACAUCAAAUCGUACCCCAAACCGACACAGGUGGUCAGGUAGAGAAUACCAAGGCGCUUGAGAGAACUCGGGUGAAGGAACUAGGCAAAAUGGUGCCGUAACUUCGGGAGAAGGCACGCUGGUGUGUAGGUGAAGUCCCUGCGGAUGGAGCUGAGACCAGUCGAAGAUACCAGCUGGCUGCAACUGUUUAUUAAAAACACAGCACUGUGCAAACACGAAAGUGGACGUAUACGGUGUGACGCCUGCCCGGUGCCGGAAGGUUAAUUGAUGGGGUUAUCCGUAAGGAGAAGCUCUUGAUCGAAGCCCCGGUAAACGGCGGCCGUAACUAUAACGGUCCUAAGGUAGCGAAAUUCCUUGUCGGGUAAGUUCCGACCUGCACGAAUGGCGUAAUGAUGGCCAGGCUGUCUCCACCCGAGACUCAGUGAAAUUGAACUCGCUGUGAAGAUGCAGUGUACCCGCGGCAAGACGGAAAGACCCCGUGAACCUUUACUAUAGCUUGACACUGAACAUUGAGCCUUGAUGUGUAGGAUAGGUGGGAGGCUUUGAAGCGUGGACGCCAGUCUGCGUGGAGCCAACCUUGAAAUACCACCCUUUAAUGUUUGAUGUUCUAACGUUGGCCCCUGACCGGGGUUGCGGACAGUGUCUGGUGGGUAGUUUGACUGGGGCGGUCUCCUCCCAAAGCGUAACGGAGGAGCACGAAGGUUAGCUAAUCCUGGUCGGACAUCAGGAGGUUAGUGCAAUGGCAUAAGCUAGCUUGACUGCGAGCGUGACGGCGCGAGCAGGUGCGAAAGCAGGUCAUAGUGAUCCGGUGGUUCUGAAUGGAAGGGCCAUCGCUCAACGGAUAAAAGGUACUCCGGGGAUAACAGGCUGAUACCGCCCAAGAGUUCAUAUCGACGGCGGUGUUUGGCACCUCGAUGUCGGCUCAUCACAUCCUGGGGCUGAAGUAGGUCCCAAGGGUAUGGCUGUUCGCCAUUUAAAGUGGUACGCGAGCUGGGUUUAGAACGUCGUGAGACAGUUCGGUCCCUAUCUGCCGUGGGCGCUGGAGAAUUGAGGGGGGCUGCUCCUAGUACGAGAGGACCGGAGUGGACGCAUCACUGGUGUUCGGGUUGUCAUGCCAAUGGCACUGCCCGGUAGCUAAAUGCGGAAGAGAUAAGUGCUGAAAGCAUCUAAGCACGAAACUUGCCCCGAGAUGAGUUCUCCCUGAGACUUUAAGUCUCCUGAAGGAACGUUAAAGACGAUGACGUUGAUAGGCCGGGUGUGUAAGCGCAGCGAUGCGUUGAGCUAACCGGUACUAAUGAACCGUGAGGCUUAACCUU
rnacentral:rRNA from 1 species